rnacentral:rRNA from 1 species
AAUCCAUAGGUUAAUGAGGCGAACCGGGGGAACUGAAACAUCUAAGUACCCCGAGGAAAAGAAAUCAACCGAGAUUCCCCCAGUAGCGGCGAGCGAACGGGGAGGAGCCCAGAGCCUGAAUCAGCAUGUGUGUUAGUGGAAGCGUCUGGAAAGGCGCGCGAUACAGGGUGACAGCCCCGUACACAAAAGCGCAUGUGCUGUGAGCUCGAUGAGUAGGGCGGGACACGUGGUAUCCUGUCUGAAUAUGGGGGGACCAUCCUCCAAGGCUAAAUACUCCUGACUGACCGAUAGUGAACCAGUACCGUGAGGGAAAGGCGAAAAGAACCCCGGCGAGGGGAGUGAAAAAGAACCUGAAACCGUGUACGUACAAGCAGUGGGAGCACCCUUUGGGUGUGACUGCGUACCUUUUGUAUAAUGGGUCAGCGACUUAUAUUCUGUAGCAAGGUUAACCGAAUAGGGGAGCCGGAGGGAAACCGAGUCUUAACCGGGCGUUAAGUUGCAGGGUAUAGACCCGAAACCCGGUGAUCUAGCCAUGGGCAGGUUGAAGGUUGGGUAACACUAACUGGAGGACCGAACCGACUAAUGUUGAAAAAUUAGCGGAUGACCUGUGGCUGGGGGUGAAAGGCCAAUCAAACCGGGAGAUAGCUGGUUCUCCCCGAAAGCUAUUUAGGUAGCGCCUCGUGAAUUCAUCUCCGGGGGUAGAGCACUGUUUCGGCUAGGGGGCCAUCCCGGCUUACCAACCCGAUGCAAACUGCGAAUACCGGAGAAUGUUAUCACGGGAGACACACGGCGGGUGCUAACGUCCGUCGUGAAGAGGGAAACAACCCAGACCGCCAGCUAAGGUCCCAAAGUCAUGGUUAAGUGGGAAACGAUGUGGGAAGGCCCAGACAGCCAGGAUGUUGGCUUAGAAGCAGCCAUCAUUUAAAGAAAGCGUAAUAGCUCACUGGUCGAGUCGGCCUGCGCGGAAGAUGUAACGGGGCUAAACCAUGCACCGAAGCUGCGGCAGCGACACUGUGUGUUGUUGGGUAGGGGAGCGUUCUGUAAGCCUGUGAAGGUGUGUCGUGAGGCAUGCUGGAGGUAU